rnacentral:lncRNA from 1 species
CAGAAACAAAAACCGAAAGAAACUGUAAGUCCAGCUUCUAUGAAUCAUCACCUCAGCUCCGGAUUGGUUCCAGGCCAAGGUCCCGGGCCAAACUUUCACGUCAGCUUGUGAUAGGCCCUGGGGCAAGCUAAGCAGCAUCUGUGAAUCAUCAUUUCGGCUUCUGAUUGGUCCCCUGCCAAAGUCCCGGGCCAGGCUGAGUCACGGGUUCGCCAAGACAGCCCACAGACUAAGCACAUUUCUUCUCUUUUCCGGUCCAUAAAAUCCCCAGAAUGGGCCCCACAAGAGCCCCACCUGGAAGACUCUAGGUUCUCAUCUUCAUGCCCCGAUGUAAGGAGAGUGGUCCCCUGAAGAGCAAAGAGAGAAGCAGUUUCUGGAACUCCAAGAGUUCCUGAUAGGAACUGUGGCUUUUGGUAGAAAAACACAACUACAGCCAACCUGAGAUCCAGCAGGAUUCUGUACAUCAGGAGUCUGAAAUGCAUCUCACUGGGCUAAAAUCAAGAUCUGUGGCACAUGGAACCACAUGUGGGACAAGAGACUAAUAAAGAUGUGACCUACUCACAGAGGCUUCAGGUGUUUUGCGAAGUACAUUGGCUUUUAUUCAACGUGCAGUGGGACUCCAACUAAAGUGUUUCAGGAAGGCACGGCCCUUUUGUGAUCUCCUGGUUCUUGUAAAUCUCACUGUGGCUGAUGAGGUCUGGAUAGAUAAUCAUGAUGGUGGCUGAAGAGAGACAAUGGUGGUGCUAGGUUACCAGUGGCGUGGAGCUCAGAGCUAAUGCAGAGCAGCUGGAGCAGUGCUGAGUUUCAAAACGUGUUGGAAAAAAUAUUAUAUGAAUGAUGCUAUUUUUUUCACUGAAUCACAUCAAGAAGCACAUGAUGUUAAGCUGUCUCAUCAUUGGUGGUGUUAACUUGGAUCGCUUGAUUAAGGUGAUGCCUUUCAUAUUUAUAUACUACAAAGUUAGCCCUUUUUAAUCAAUAAGUAAUCUAUUCAGAGAUAAAUGAGAACUGCAUAAAUAUCUUGGUAACAAACAAGUUUUACCCAAUAUUGUUUUCCUCCAUUGAUGAUUCUUGCCUUAAUCAAUUAUUACCAUGACAGUAGCAAAAUAGUGAUAUUUUAGUUAUCAUUUCUUGUACAUGUAUUAGUUUUACAUAGUAAACAAAAGCGUUUCCUCCUCUCAUUUUCUCUUUCUCUCCCUUCUUUCCAUCCAUUCUUCCUUCCUUUCUAUUUCUGUCUGUCUCUGUCUCUGUCUCUGUGCCUCUCUGUCUCCUUUGCCCUUCUCAUUGUCCGUUUUUAUUUAUAUUUCUUAAUGUGUGGAUUCAUAAACUAUUCUUUUCAAUUGCAUUAUAAUCUGUUACUGUCAUUUUUUAUUGUACCAGAUUUAGCGAGUAUGAGCUAACAAUUUCUAAUUUUAAUCCAACAUUUUAAAUCACAUGGUCUUCUUCAUCUUCUCUGUUUACAUAUUCGUAUUUACUUCCUUUCACAAUCAUAAUCUUGCCUCCCUCCCCCAAAGGAAUAUAUUUUCUUCUAUGGGACACCAAAGAUAAUAGAUUUUAAUUUAGUUUUAGAGUUUUCCAAAAUGUUUGUUGAUUUAAUUUUAUUUUUGAUUAUGUAUUAAUUGAACAUGCUUCCAGUUUUCAAAAUUAUAUGAAAUGAUAUAUACAGAGAAUUGCCACUCAAUCUUCUCUUCUUCCCAUAUUAUUGUCACUUCUUGCCUGUGGUUAACCAAUUUCACUGGAUUCUGGUUAUCCUUGCGUUUAUUUUUUAAAAUAUGUAAGUUAUAUGUUAUUAUAUAUGUUUUUCCCUUAAAAUUUUUCCUGAUAAUCCAUAUCGGGCCAUAGAGAUCUCCUUUAUUACUUCCUGCAUAGUAAUCCAUUGUGUAUAUAUAUUAGGUUGGUGCAAAAGUCGUUGCAGUUUUUGCAAUUACUUUUAAUGGCAAAAACUGCAAUUACUUUUGCACCAACAUACAUCGUUUAGCCCGAGAACUACUCACUCUGGGUCUCCUCUCCACUGAGGGCUGCACACAUGCCGGGAUGACCUGCCUGUGGAAAGGAGCUACAACUUCAGGUCUCCUGAGAGCUGUAGGAUUUGUACCAUUUUGCUUUCCCAUUAGCAAUGUGUAGGAAUGCCUGUUUCCCUGUAGCCUCCCCAACAGCUUGUGUUAUCAAGAUUUUGGAUAUUUAACAAACUUGAAGGUCUUUUGAAGAGCAGAAAUUUUAGAUUUUAAUAAAAUCCAAAUUUGCAAUGUUUUUGUUUUUCAUGGCUCAUGUUGUAUCUAAAAAUUCAUCAAUAAAUGCAAGGGUCAAGGAAACUUAUUUUGAACUAUUUACAGCCUUUAAUAAUUGAGUAUGUUAUACGCCUGUGAACAAAAUUUGGAGCAUAUUUGUCUCUCUCUCUGCCUGGCUUCUCCAGAAUUUUGAAACUAGUUGCCCUGGAGCCCCAUGUUUAUCUGCUGACCUUAAGAAGAGAGGAUUACCCAUCUCUCAGGAGGACUCAAUUCCACAGCUUCACCUUAGCAUUUGGCUUAUGAUGAGGAGCCCAUGCAACCCCCUUGAGACACAUAUUUGUUCCAAACUCAAUUCCAAGCUUCAGGUCAAAGCCAUAGGAAAGAAAACUGGAUCUGGAAGAUUCAGAGGCAGAUGAUAACUGAAGUUAAAAGGCACACUGCAGGUGAGCAUGACUGAUUCCUGCCAAUUAAGCCAAGAUUCCUGUUUCAUGGAUAAAGACCAUACUAGCAUCUAUAGCAUAAAUGAGGUCUAGGGCUACUAUGGACAGGGGAGAUAGGGCAUAUGAGACUAAGCAUGGAUACUCCCAUCCCCUAUGCCCCUCUAUUAAUAUGGGUAAAGGCACUGUGACACCCUUGGGUGGCACCUUUUCACAGUAACCAGGACUCGGGGAUACAAGGACAAGGAAAGAAAGGGCAACACCUUGCUUUCUCUCCCUCACGUACCCUUGGUAUUUGCUAGAAAGAGAAGAGAACUGGGGAUGCCUCGCUCCCCUCUUUCUCAAUGUGUAGCCACUUAUUUUCAGUCUGUACCUUUUUCAAAUACAUCCUGAACCUCUUGGACUCCUUUGAAAAAAAAUCCUUUUUUCUUCUUUCUUCUCAUCUGUCCUCUCUUCACUGAUAGGUAAUUGUGUCUCCGUACUAUCAGAUACUCCCUUCGGAUGCAUCCUCCAAACCAGGAAAAGUUAAUUUUCCCAACCUUAAACUGGUUGGCUUAGGAUUGGGCUCAGGGGAAGGGAAUCCAGAAGCCUGACAUGCUGGCAAAAGGGUAAAAGGUUUUUUACCAGUUGGGCCUUUGGCCCCCCUCUCCCUGUACAAACUGGUAAAAGGCCUCACAAUUUUUGAGCUGUUCUCUCUCCUGCCUUUUUUUCAUUUUGAUGUAUGUUUUCUAAUAAUCUGAGUUGUCUCUUCUCACCUUCAGGCCAUCAAACUCCAAAUGGUCAUGCAACUGGGGUCUCAGACAAUGGCCCCUUUUGCUGGGAACCCUUAGUUUGGCCUCUGAGGGAGAUUGGACUGCCAUUUUCCCAAAACAGCACCCCUUGUCAACAGGAAGCAGUUAAAAUCAGUGUUCAUCCUUAUCCUUAUCCUUAUUCUAAUGGCAGUUAGAUGUACUUCUUUAGAGGGGAAAAUGAUAGACACAGGAGGCAGCCAAGGGACCCAGGUGAAACCCUGCCUUCAAGCCUAAAACAGCAUGAAGGCUGAAAAAUUGGACUGCAGGUUCCGGAUUAAGCCUGCCCUUUGCCAACUGAUUUUUUUCUCAAUAAUGCCCACCUACACACUGGGAGGACGGGGUGGAGCCUUGGGAAGUUCGCAUCAUUUGCAGCGAGAAGGAGCCUGGCCUCUCCUGUUACUGUAUGGUAACUUGAGAUUCAGUCAGUGAGAUGGGGGCCUGUGAAUAGGAACCCCUCUUGCUUUGCUGAGAGGUGUUUUUUUUUUUUUUCCUAGUAGCUCAGUAAAUUCCAUUCUCCCUCACCCUUCAAAGUUUCUGCAUGCCUAACUUUUCCUGGUCGUAUGACAAGAACCCAUUUUUUUCUACAAUACCAGAAGUUCAUUCCUUUAUAUGACUGAAUAAUAUUCCAUUGUAUGUAUAUAUAAUUGUUUAUUCUUCCAUUGAUGGAUACGGCUGAUUUCCACCUUUUAGCCAUUGUAAACUGUGCUGCAAUGAACAUUGCUGUAUCUGGGUCUCUGUAUUUUAUUAUUUGGGGUAUAUAACUAGGAGUAGAAUUGAUAGGCUAUAUGGUAAGUAUAUGUUUACAUUUUGGAAAAACUGCCAAAUUGUUUCCACAGUUGUUGAACCAUUUUGUAUUCCAACCAGCAACACAAGAGGAUUCCAAUUUCUAUGCAUCCUCAUGAAUACUUGUUAUUUCCUGUUUUAUCAUAUUCAUCUUAAUGUGCUAAGUGAUGUCUCCUUGUGCUUUUGUUUUGCAUUGCUCUAGUGCAAUAAUAAAUGGAACUAAUGAUGUUUAGAAUCUUUCCAUAUGCUUAUCACCAUUUUCGUAUGCUCAUCUCCAAAAGGGGUGGCAUAUCUUUUUUGGACAAAUAUCUGUUCAAGUCUUUUGCUUGUAUUAUAUGUGUUGUUUUUAUUUUUGUCACUGAGUUUGUAGUCCUUUAUAUAUUCUGAAUAUUUAAUCCUUAUAAGAUAUGUGAUUUGAAAAUAUUUUCUUCUAUUUUAUAGGUUUCCCUUUUACCGUCUUGAUAAUGUACUUUGAUGCACACACUUUUUUUUAGAUUUCAUUGAAGUACAACUUACCUAUUUUUUCUUACAUUGUUCAUGCUUUUUGGUCUCAUAUCUAAUAAUCCAUUGUCAAAUACAAGGUCCUGAAGAUUUAUUCUAUUUUUAUUUUUCAUUUUC